UUAAGUCUCCUGAAGGAACGUUGAAGACGACGACGUUGAUAGGUCGGGUGUGUAAGCGCAGCGAUGCGUUGAGCUAACCGAUACUAAUGAACCGUGAGGCUUAACCUUACAACGCCGAAGGUGUUU
rnacentral:rRNA from 1 species